rnacentral:rRNA from 1 species
AGGCGACGAUCAGUAGCUGGUCUGAGAGGAUGAUCAGCCACACUGGGACUGAGACACGGCCCAGACUCCUACGGGAGGCAGCAGUGGGGAAUAUUGGACAAUGGGCGCAAGCCUGAUCCAGCCAUGCCNCGUGAGUGAUGACGGCCUUAGGGUUGUAAAGCUCUUUGUCCGGGACGAUAAUGACGGUACCGGAAGAAUAAGCCCCGGCUAACUUCGUGCCAGCAGCCGCGGUAAUACGAAGGGGGCUAGCGUUGCUCGGAAUCACUGNGCGUAAAGGGCGCGUAGGCGGCUUGCCAAGUCGGGGGUGAAAGCCCGUGGCUCAACCACGGAAUGGCCUUCGAUACUGGCAGGCUUGAGACCGGAAGAGGACAGCGGAACUGCGAGUGUAG